GUCAUCCCAUGGGUAAGUUCAUUAACUUCUCUGUGUCUUUUUGUUUGCUUGCUUUAUAAAGCGAGGACUCUCACGGUGCCUACUUCGGGGCUGUUUAUCAAUUAACUGAGGUCCUGCUUCAAGAGCACCUGACACAGAGGAAGCACACGAGUAUGGGAGCUGUUGAUGCUGUUAUGAUCGUGGGGGAAGGAAUGCGAGGACAAAGGCUUAGGGCGGUGAAAUGGCUUGUCUGAGGCACCAAGAGGCAGAAGCAGCACUACAACCAAGGUCACCGGGAUCUCAGCUCGGGAAUGUUCCUGCUCUGCCAUUCCAUGAACUUAACACACAGCUCACUGCCUGAACACCCGCUUCAGGAGAACAAGGACCACACCUGCAAUUUCAACUCAGAUCACCUUUGUCUUCGUUACUUGUCCAUCCUGAAGUUUCUCACCUCUUCAAGCUUAACUGAAGCUUCUCCCUGCCCCCUCUCCUUCUGGCCUGGUGCACGAAUAAGAGCAGGAGGAUGUGGGGUCUGGAAGGCAUGGCUGGAGGAAGAGGAACUUACACAGCCUGCUGAAAUAGGGCUGUGAGUUAGGAAGAGAGCCUGGAGAGACGGAAACAGGUGUUGCCUUUGCCUUCACUGCUCAGAGAAGCCAGGACCUUGGGCAAGUCACAAACCCUGCAGCUGAAAUUUCUUCAUUUCUACAGUGGGAUUUUAGACUGGACAAUCUCUAAGACACUCUGGCCUUAACACUUCGACUGAGCAUCAUCCCAAAUAGCUGCUCUUCGUAGAGCUUUCAACUCUCUCUUUCCUCCUCCCCAAGGCCUUGUGUGCAAAGAACCUUACUCUUAAGAGACCUUGACCCUCAGUCACUCCUCUUCUCCAUCUUCAACUUCAUUCUCUCUAAUGGUUCUUUCCUACCAGCAUUUAAUGUACUGAAUGUUUUUUAUAUAUUUCAAACCAGAAAGUGGACUUACACUCUUGUACAUGAUGUAACACCUAGCAUGACACCAGACUUGCCUUCCUACUGUAAACAUCAAUAAACUGGCUAAAAUAUAUGAAAAAAAUUGUGUU
ensembl:lncRNA